UACGUGUGGUGCAAGCGUUGUUCGGAAUUACUGGGCAUAAAGGGUGCGUAGGCGGUGUCGUCAGUCUGGGGUGAAAUCCUGCGGCCCAACCGUGGGACUGCCUCGGAUACUGCGAUGCUUGAGUGCGUGAGGGGUGAUCGGAACGCGUGGUGUAGCGGUGAAAUGCGUAGAUAUCACGCGGAAGGCCAACGGCGAAGGCAGAUCACUGGCGCGCAACUGACGCUGAGUGCACGAAAGCGUGGGGAGCAAACAGG
rnacentral:rRNA from 1 species